rnacentral:rRNA from 1 species
UACGUAGGGCGCAAGCGUUGUCCGGAAUUAUUGGGCGUAAAGAGCUCGUAGGCGGCUUGUCACGUCGGGUGUGAAAGCCCGGGGCUUAACCCCCGGGUCUGCAUUCGAUACGGGCUAGCUAGAGUGUGGUAGGGGAGAUCGAAUUCCUGGUGUAGCGGUGAAAUGCGCAGAUAUCAGGAGGAACACCGGUGGCGAAGGCGGAUCUCUGGGCCAUUACUGACGCUGAGGAGCGAAAGCUAGGGGAGCGAACUGG